CCUACGGGUGGCAGCAGUGAGGAAUAUUGGUCAAUGGGCGGAAGCCUGAACCAGCCAAGUAGCGUGAAGGAUGAAGGCCCUACGGGUUGUAAACGGCUUGUAUACGGGAAGAAAGCGCGGGACGAGUAGGGCGGUGCAGGUAACGGAGGAAUAAGGACCGGCUAAGUCCGUGCCAGCAGCCGCGGUAAUACGGAAGGUCCGGGCGUUAUCCGGAUUUAUUGGGGUUAAAGGGAGCGUAGGCCGCAUGGCAAGCGCGCUGUGAAAUGUCCGGGCUCAACCCCGGCCUUGCAGCGCGAACUGGCGUGCUUGAUUCCGCGGCAGGCAGGCGGAAUUCGUCUUGUAGCGG
rnacentral:rRNA from 1 species